rnacentral:rRNA from 1 species
AAUCAACGCUGGCGGCGCGCUUAACACAUGCAAGUCGCACGAGAAAGUGGAGCAAUCCAUGAGUAAAGUGGCGUACGGGUGAGUAACACGUGGAUCAUCUACCUCUUAGUGGGGAAUAACCCUGGGAAACCGGGGCUAAUACCGCAUAAUCCUGGGAAGGGAAAGCAGCAAUGCGCUGAGAGAGGAGUCCGCGGCCGAUUAGCUAGUUGGUAGGGUAAUGGCCUACCAAGGCGAUGAUCGGUAGCCGGCCUGAGAGGGCACACGGCCACACUGGCACUGAAACACGGGCCAGACUCCUACGGGAGGCAGCAGUGGGGAAUCUUGCACAAUGGAGGAAACUCUGAUGCAGCGACGCCGCGUGAGCGAUGAAGCCCUUCGGGGUGUAAAGCUCUUUCGGCAGGGACGAUAAUGACGGUACCUGAAGAAGAAGCUGCGGCUAACUACGUGCCAGCAGCCGCGGUAAUACGUAGGCAGCAAGCGUUGUUCGAAUUACUGGGCGUAAAGAGUGUGUAGGCGGUUUUCUAAGUUUGGUGUGAAAUCUCCCGGCUUAACUGGGAGGGUGCGCCGAAAACUGGAAGGCUUGAGUGCCGGAGGGGAUAGCGGAAUUCCUGGUGUAGCGGUGAAAUGCGUAGAUAUCAGGAGGAACACCUGCGGUGUAGACGGCUAUCUGGACGGCCACUGACGCUGAGACACGAAAGCGUGGGUAGCAAACAGGAUUAGAUACCCUGGUAGUCCACGCCCUAAACGAUGCAUACUUGGUGUGAGCCAUUCAUUUGGUUCGUGCCGGAGCUAACGCGUUAAGUAUGCCGCCUGGGGAGUAGUCGCAAGGCUG